UACGUAGGGUGCAAGCGUUGUCCGGAAUUAUUGGGCGUAAAGAGCUCGUAGGCGGUCUGUCGCGUCGGCUGUGAAAACCCGGAGCUCAACUCCGGGCCUGCAGUCGAUACGGGCAGACUGGAGUUCGGCAGGGGAGACUGGAAUUCCUGGUGUAGCGGUGAAAUGCGCAGAUAUCAGGAGGAACACCGGUGGCGAGGGCGGGUCUCUGGGCCGAUACUGACGCUGAGGAGCGAAAGCGUGGGGAGCGAACAGG
rnacentral:rRNA from 1 species